CAAUGAAUUUAUUUAAUGGCCGCGGUAUUUUGACUGUGCAAAGGUAGCAUAAUCAUUAGUUUAUUAAUUGUGAAAUAGUAUGAAUGGUUGGACGAAAUAUUGACUGUCUUCAUAUUUAUUUAUAGAAAUUAAUUUUUGAGUUAAAAAGCUUAAAUUUUUUUAAAGGACGAGAAGACCCUAUAGAUCUUUAUUUAUAUUAUUUUUAUUUAUUUUUGGUUUAUUUUUUUUAUAAAAAUUUAUUUUUUUUUGUUGGGGUGACAUUUAGAUAAAAUUAACUCUUUUUUUUUUUUUCAUUGAUUUUUGUUU
rnacentral:rRNA from 1 species